rnacentral:snoRNA from 2 species
CCAUUGUACAUGAAGAACUCAGGAUGUUAACUCAUUAUAUCCGUGAGCGCAAAACUGUGUGGAUACUUCCGUUGCUUUCCUUUUGACCAUUCAAUU